rnacentral:tRNA from 1 species
GUGGAAUGUAGCUCAGUGGUAGAGUGCUUGACUAGCACAUGUGAGGCACUGGGUUAGAUUCACAGCGACACA